AAAGUCGUAACAAGGUCUCCGUUGGUGAACCAGCGGAGGGAUCAUUACCGAGUUAUUCAACUCCCAAACCCCCUGUGAACCUUACCACACACGUUGCCUCGGCGGGACCGCCCCGGCGCCCUCGCGGCCCGGACCAAGGCGCCCGCCGGAGGACCACCAGACUCUCCUGUCGCAGUGGCAUUUCUCUCCGAGUCAAACAAGCAAAAUGAAUCAAAACUUUCAACAACGGAUCUCUUGGUUCUG
rnacentral:misc_RNA from 1 species